rnacentral:rRNA from 1 species
AUUGAACGCUGGCGGCAGGCCUAACACAUGCAAGUCGAACGAGUGGCGGACGGGUGAGUAAUGUCUGGGAAACUGCCUGAUGGCGGGGGAUAACUACUGGAAACGGUAGCUAAUCCCGCAUACCAUCAGAUGUGCCCAGAUGGGAUUGGCUUGUUGGUGGGGUAACGGCUCACCAAGGCGACGAUCCCUAGCUGGUCUGAGAGGAUGACCAGCCAACCUGGAACUGGAAAACGGUCCAGGAUCCUACGGGAGGCAGCAGUGGGGAAUAUUGCGCAAUGGGCGCAAGCCUGAUGCAGCAAUGCCGCGUGUAUGAAGAAGGCCUUCGGGUUGUAAAGUACUUUCAGCGGGGAGGCGUUACCCGCAGAAGAAGCACCGGCUAACUCCGUGCCAGCAGCCGCGGUAAUAC